rfam:TPA: Bos taurus chromosome 26, whole genome shotgun sequence.
UCCCUGAUAGCUCAGUUGGUAAAGAAUCUGCCUGCAAUGCAGGAGACCCCGGUUCGAUUCCUGGGUCGGGAA